CCCUUCCUUCGGCCCCGCCCAGCCCCGCCGGCCGCCCGCUCCCUGGGGAACCGAGGGAGGAAUGGGCGGGGUCCUCAGGUGCCCGGCGACGUCAUCCAGCCCCCAAGGCUCCAGGACGCAAAGGGUCCCCUGAUCUGGCAGUCCCUGGACCUACCCUGGAGAGCGUGGGGGGACAAAGGCCGGACGCGCCGCCCGCUGCCGCCUCCAGGAAGCCCUCCCUUGCCAGGACAGUGGAGUUGGCCGGGUGUGGACAGCAGGAAGGGCCGGCGGGAAGGGGGGGUGGAAAGAGCCACUCCUGGUUAAUAACUCUGCGGGGUUAACCUAGGGCCGGCCAUACUCAAGUACGGACUUGAGUAAAAUUCAGCAGGAAAAGGAGCAGGGUGGGCGCCGCUAGAGGGAGGCUUCAGGACUGAGGGUCAGAGGCCCAAGGCCUGGCAGGGCCCUUCCCUGGUCAGCUCCAGGCUUGGCCUGAUGCCCGGUGGGCCACGGGCCUCUUCCAGCCUCAGGCUGACCCCAGAGAAAGAGGACAGCCCACAAGCCCGGGAGGCCGGCUUGCUGCCUGGUCAUUGCUGCAGAGCCUGGAGGGGGCCUGCGCUCAGUCCCCGCUGACCGUCCCCUCCCUUGACCCUGCCAUAGCCAUCUGUGUAACCCAGGGGAAAUUAUUCCAAAGGGACUUCCACUUCUGAUAAUCUAUGAUUCUAUUUUCUAAAAAACAAAACUCUAAAAUGCUUAAUGUCAAACAUCUGUCAUCAGCUGAACAGGAAAAGGAACAGUCCUUCCAAAGUGCCUACGGAAAGCUUUGUCCCAUCCUUGAAAAAUUGCUAAUGGGUUUGGAGAUACGAGGUGGAGAUGACUAGCAAUCAAACUCAAAGGUGGAAGUCACAUCGAGGCAGAUGAGCAGAUGAGGGGACCUAGAGAAGAAGAGAGGUGCAAGGAGAGCCCAGCCAGCAGGAACAUCUGCCCCAGUAGGCAGCACUGCCCCACAUCAGAGUCGAGGAAAGCAAAGCUCGGAUUGGAUAAAAGAAACUUGCAAACACGGAUGAAGGGAAAAGCUUCAUGACAUUGGAUUUGGCAGUGAUUCCUUGGAUAUGACCCCAAAAGCACAGAUAACGAAAGAAAAAAUAGUUAAAUUGUCUUCAUCAAAAUUAAAACUUUUGUACAUCAAAGAACUCUUUCAAAAGAGUGAAAAAGUCACAGAAUAAGAGAAAAUCAUAUACCUGAUAAAGAAUUAAUAUUCAGAGCCAGAUGCAGUGGCUCAUGCCUGUAAUCCCAGCACUUUGGGAGGCCAAGGCAGGCAGAUCACUUGAGAUCAGGAGUUCGAGACAAGCCUGGCUAAAAUGGUGAAACCCCAGCUCUACUAAAAAUACAAAAAUUAGCCAGGCGUGGUGGCGUGCACCUGGAAUCCCAGCUAUUCGGGAGGCUGAGGCAGGAGAAUCGCUUGAACUCAGAAGGCAGAGGUUGCAGUGAGCCAAGAUCACACCACUGCACUCCAGCCUGGGCGACAAAGUGAGACUCCAUCUCAAAAAAACAAAACAAAACAAAACAAAACAAAGAGUUACUAUUCAGAAUAUAUUAAGAAUUCCUACAACUCAACAACAAAAAAAAAUCCAACCCAAUUAAAAAAUGGGCAACAGACCCAAAUAGACAUUUCUUAGAAGACACACAAAUGGCCAAUAAGCUCAUGAAAACAUGUUUAACAUCACUAAUCAUUAGGGAAAUGCAAAUCAAAGCUAAAAUGAGAUACCACGUCACACUCAUUAGGUGUUAUUUUUUAAAAAUAACACAACAACAAAAAAUAAGAAAUGUGGGCGAGGAUGUGAAGAAAUUGAAACCCUUGUGGACUGUUGUUGGGGAUGUAAAAUGGCGCAGCUGCUGGGGAAAACAGUAUGGGAGUUCCUCACAAAACUAAACAGAAUUGCCAAACGACCCAGCGAUCCUGCCUCUGACAUAUACUGGAAAGAACUGAAAUAAGGCGCUGGAACAGACACUUGUAACCCAUGUUCACAGCUGAGCCAAAAGGUGGGAGUAACCCAAAUGUCCAUCAGUGGAUGAAUACUGGCAAUAAAAGCUGUGUCUGGAGGCCACUCCGUUUCACACAGCUCUCCACACGGGUGAGGGCACAGCCUUCUCGUCUCUUUCCUAUGCUGCAUCUUCAGAGCUAGCUAUGAUAUGAUAUGAUGUGAUAUGUACAUAUCGAAUAUACAUGUUUUACAUGCAAA
rnacentral:lncRNA from 1 species